rnacentral:rRNA from 1 species
GACGAACGCUGGCGGCGUGCUUAACACAUGCAAGUCGAACGGUAAGGCCCUUCGGGGUACACGAGUGGCGAACGGGUGAGUAACACGUGGGUGAUCUGCCCUGCACUUUGGGAUAAGCCUGGGAAACUGGGUCUAAUACCGAAUAGGACCAUGGCAUGCAUGUGCUGUGGUGGAAAGCUUUUGCGGUGUGGGAUGGGCCCGCGGCCUAUCAGCUUGUUGGUGGGGUGAUGGCCUACCAAGGCGACGACGGGUAGCCGGCCUGAGAGGGUGACCGGCCACACUGGGACUGAGAUACGGCCCAGACUCCUACGGGAGGCAGCAGUGGGGAAUAUUGCACAAUGGGCGCAAGCCUGAUGCAGCGACGCCGCGUGAGGGAUGACGGCCUUCGGGCUGUAAACCUCUUUCAGCACCGACGAAGCGCAAGUGACGGUAGGUGCAGAAGAAGGACCGGCCAACUACGUGCCAGCCGCCGCAGUAA